rnacentral:rRNA from 1 species
AUUGAACGCUGGCGGCAGGCCUAACACAUGCAAGUCGAGCGGCAGCGGGAAAGUAGCUUGCUACUUUUGCCGGCGAGCGGCGGACGGGUGAGUAAUGCCUGGGAAAUUGCCCAGUCGAAGGGGAUAACAGUUGGAAACGACUGCUAAUACCGCAUACGCCCUACGGGGGAAAGCAGGGGACCUUCGGGCCUUGCGCGAUUGGAUAUGCCCAGGUGGGAUUAGCUAGUUGGUAGGGUAAAGGCCUACCAAGGCUACGAUCCGUAACUGGUCUGAGAGGAUGAUCAGUCACACUGGAACUGAGACACGGUCCAGACUCCUACGGGAGGCAGCAGUGGGGAAUUUUGGACAAUGGGCGAAAGCCUGAUCCAGCCAUGCCGCGUGCGGGAAGAAGGCCGUCGGGUUGUAAACCGCUUUAGUCUAGGAAAAAGGGGUGCGAGGUUAAUACCCUCGUGCUUUGAUGGUACUGGAAGAAUAAGCACCGGCUAACUACGUGCCAGCCGCCGCAGUAAUAC